rnacentral:rRNA from 1 species
AGCUCCAAUAGCGUAUAUUAAAGUUGUUGCAGUUAAAAAGCUCGUAGUUGGAUUUCUGACGUGAGGUGCUUGACCCGCGGACGUUAGUCCUGUGAGUGUCGGUGUGCCUCGGUCAUCCUUCUAGAAAUUGGCAAUGCUAUUCAUUUAGUUGUUGUCAGGAUCUAGAUCUUUUACUUUGAAAAAAUUAGAGUGUUUAAAGCAGGCUUACGCCUUGAAUACAUUAGCAUGGAAUAAUAACUUAGGACUUUGGUUCUAUUUUGUUGGUUUCUAGGACCGAAGUAAUGAUUGAUAGGGAUAGUUGGGGGUGCUAGUAUUCAGCGGCCAGAGGUGAAAUUCUUGGAUUCGCUGAAGACUAACUUAUGCGAAAGCAUUCACCAAGGAUGUCU